CAUAUGUGGAGCACUGACCCUCGGUGCGGCUGUGUGUCACCAUAGUCCCUCCAGAUUCCUGUGAGCCCAGAGGGAGGGACUGUUACUGCGGUCACUGAGGAGUCCCGUGGUGCCUUGGAUUCACAGACUGAGCAGAGAUAACAAUGACUCGACUUGUUCACAUACGAAAAUAGCUCGCUUGUCAGAGCUGCAUGGGGACUGGUGCCACGGAAAUUCUGUGAGCAGAAGAACAGUUCAGAUCAGAGAAUUUUCUUUGGGUUUGGAGUGCUCCCUGGUCGUGGUCGUCUCCAGUCCACACCCCAUCCUGGGGAGCAGAUUUUCAGAACAUGGUGAUGAGUUGGUACAACAACACGAGCAAAGUUCCAGCCCACAGCACAUCCCUGUGAAGCUGUCAGAUGGAGGAUGUGGCACCUUGACUCGGCCACCCGUGGAAGCAAACAACGCCAGGAGUGACCCACCGACGCAUGAUCCUGCUCUUGGGAAGUUGGACCUCCGUACACACAGUCCCUUUGGAAGUCUCGUGAUUACCUGGAGAAGCACUGCAACUCGAGAGCUGGAGGCAGCAGUUGAGAAGUCAGACACUUUUAAACCCGGGCAUUUCCCAUCUUUUUCAUCGGAAUCUCUAAGGAACUCCCUGAAAAAAAGAAUAUUUCUACCAAU
rnacentral:lncRNA from 1 species